rnacentral:misc_RNA from 1 species
AGAGAGAGAGAGAGAGAGGGGAUGCUUAAAGUUAUGAUCAAAGCUGAAGAUUUUUCUGUACAAGUACUAUAUUUGCCAUCACAUAUAACAUCUUAAAAGGAUCUAGGAAUAGAAAUUGGGCUAGGGGUGAGACAGUGCGGUUUUUAACCGAAAACCAAACCAAACCUAACCAAUUUAAUUCGGUUUUUCAGUAAAUCAAUUUGGUUUAUUUUAUUCAUUUGUUGAUCUAUUUUCUAUUAUAUAUAUAGAAUUUGAGAUCUGUUGUUGUUGUUGAUUGUUUAUUUUGUUGAUAUUUUUUAUGGUUUAUUUUGCUUUCAUUGUUGAUUGCCAUUGUUGUUAUGAUUUGCUGGGAAGUGUAACUUGCUGUAAAGGGUAACCUGGUGAGAACGGUAGAACUGAUGAACCAAACUGAAUUUUUCAGUUUGGUUCAAUUCUGUUUUCUUUAUACUUUGGCUCGGUUUGGUUCUCAUGAUUUUGUAGUUUAGUUCAAAACCAAACCAACUAAUUGAACGCCCCUAUGUUCAGUGGCGGAUUUACCAUACUAAAAGAGGGGUCAGUUGACCCCUUUUUUUUUCU